rnacentral:rRNA from 1 species
GAAGGGUGCAAGCGUUACUCGGAAUUACUGGGCGUAAAGCGUGCGUAGGUGGUGGUUUAAGUCUGCUGUGAAAGCCCUGGGCUCAACCUGGGAAUUGCAGUGGAUACUGGGUCACUAGAGUGUGGUAGAGGGAUGCGGAAUUUCCGGUGUAGCAGUGAAAUGCGUAGAGAUCGGAAGGAACGUCCGUGGCGAAGGCGGCAUCCUGGGCCAACACUGACACUGAGGCACGAAAGCGUGGGGGAGCAAACAGGAUUAGAUACCCUGGUAGUCCACGCCCUAAACGAUGCGAACUGGAUGUUGGGUGCAACUUGGCACCCAGUAUCGAAGCUAACGCGUUAAGUUCGCCGCCUGGGAGUACGGUCGCAAGACUG